CCACCAGGAAUUCUUACUGCCAGUGAUUCAAAAUAUCCACUGGACACAGCACAAUAAUGAUAUGUUAAUGAAGCCCAACGUCCAGAGGAAUCAUGUACUGUGUUCGACCUCCUUUCAGCCGGGCUUUCAUCACAAGGCCUCAGUGAAGUUCAACCCCAACCCUUUGCCGCCAGGCUAAGAGAUGGUACUCCCAGCUUGCUUCCCUGCCCUUCUCCAAACCCCCACACACCGGAGUGAAGGAUCAGAAAAAGAGGAACGUGCUUUCCAAAGCCCUGAGGGAAAAGGAAGUAACUGCUUGCAACUAGACUC